UGAUCCUGCCGGACCUGACUGCUAUCGGAUUGAUACUAAGCCAUGCGAGUCAUUGUAGCAAUACAAGGCAGACGGCUCAGUAACGCGUAGUCAACCUACCCUAUGGACGUGGAUAACCUCGGGAAACUGAGAAUAAUACACGAUAGAACAUUAUGCCUGGAACGGUUUAUGUUCCAAAUGAUUUAUCGCCGUAGGAUGGGACUGCGGCCUAUCAGUUUGUUGGUGAGGUAAUGGCCCACCAAGACUAUUACAGGUACGGGCUCUGAGAGGAGUGGCCCGGAGAUGGGUACUGAGACACGGACCCAGGCCCUAUGGGGCGCAGCAGGCGAGAAAACUUUGCAAUGUGCGAAAGCACGACAAGGUUAAUCCGAGUGGUUUCUGCUAAAGGAACCUUUUGACAGUCCUAGAAACACUGUUGAAUAAGGGGUGGGCAAGUUCUGGUGUCAGCCGCCGCGGUAAAACCAGCACCUCAAGUUGUCAGGAUGAUUAUUGGGCCUAAAGCAUCCGUAGCCGGCUCUGUUAGUUUUCGGUUAAAUCUGUACGCUUAACGUACAGGCUGCCGGGAAUACUGCAGAGCUAGGGAGUGGGAGAGGUAGACGGUACUCGGUAGGAAGGGGUAAAAUCCUUUGAUCUAUUGAUGACCACCUGUGGCGAAGGCGGUCUACCAGAACACGUCCGACGGUGAGGGAUGAAAGCUGGGGGAGCAAACCGGAUUAGAUACCCGGGUAGUCCCAGCUGUAAACUAUGCAAACUCAGUGAUGCGUUGGCUUGUGGCCAAUGCAGUGUUGCAGGGAAGCCGUUAAGUUUGCCGCCUGGGAAGUACGUACGCAAGUAUGAAACUUAAAGGAAUUGGCGGGGGAGCACCACAAGGGGUGAAGCCUGCGGUUC
rnacentral:rRNA from 2 species